GAACCUCAUACUGUACGACAGCGAAAUUUGUGUGGCUCAUCUUUCACUCCAGUACAGUGUCAUCCAUGAGCCCAUCACCAGAUAUUUGCUGUCGUACGGUGUCAUCCAUGUUGCUCAUUCUCAACCUUCUCCAAAAAAAUGUUGCUGUAACACUUGAACAGAUCAUACUGGUACUGGCUUAUGUAUAUCCAAACAAGCAGGUCACCAAGACAUCGCAACCAGCAUCAUCAGCAUAUAUAUAUAUAUGGGAUAGACAGCCAAUUUAUUUAUCAGUGCCGACUUAUAUGAGCUAACACUUCAGUUCAUGCUAAACACUGGCAACAGCUGAUUCUUGGCUCUGAUGUCAACUCACAACUAUCCGUUUCCAGACAUAUGUUGCGGAUUUUGUGAUCCUGUGCACCGGGAGAUUCAGCGGCAUCACGAAUAUACCCACAUUCCCUCCCGACAAAGGGCCGGAGAAAUUCGAGGGCACGGUGAUCCACUCCAUGGACUACUCCGACAUGGGCACCGCAAAGGCCACCGAGCUCAUCAGGGGCAAGCUCGUCACCGUUGUUGGCUACCAGAAGUCUGCUCUUGACAUCGCCGCAGAGUGCGCAAACACAAACGGUGAGAUCUCUAGCUUUCCUGCAACUCUUCACUGCAGAGCGAUCAAAAGGAAGAAGGUUUCAGAACCAACACUGAGGUCAGAUAUAUCUUAAUUUUGUUCAUUGUUGUUGCGCUCAGGAGCCAAGUAUCCAUGCACAAUAAUAUGUCGAACGAAGAGAUGGAUCAUACCCGACUACUACGCUUGGGGCGUUCCCAUUGCGUUCUUCUACCUCAACCGCUUCUCGGAGCUCCUAGUACACAAGCCAGGAGAGGGGCUGCUCCUCAGCAUUCUUGCUACCUUCUUAUCAC
rnacentral:lncRNA from 1 species